rnacentral:rRNA from 1 species
UCGGGAAUUUUGGGCAAUGGGCGAAAGCCUGACCCAGCAACGCCGCGUGAAGGAUGAAGUAUUUCGGUAUGUAAACUUCGUAAGAAUAGGAAGAAUAAAUGACGGUACUAUUUGUAAGGUCCGGCUAACUACGUGCCAGCAGCCGCGGUAAUACGUAGGGACCAAGCGUUGUUCGGAUUUACUGGGCGUAAAGGGCGCGUAGGCGGCGUGGUAAGUCAUCUGUGAAAUCUCCGAGCUUAACUCGGAACGGUCAGAUGAUACUGCUGUGCUAGAGUACAGAAAGGGCAAUCGGAAUUCUUGGUGUAGCGGUGAAAUGCGUAGAUAUCAAGAGGAACACCUGAGGUGAAGACGGGUUGCUGGGCUGACACUGACGCUGAGGCGCGAAAGCCAGGGGAGCAAACGGGAUUAGAUACCCCUGUAGUCCCUGAGCGGGCUGGCAAGGCGCAU